CAGCUAAGGUCCCUAAAAUUGGCUAAGUGGGAAACGAAGUGGGUAGGCUAAAACAGUCAGGAUGUUGGCUUAGAAGCAGCCAUCAUUUAAAGAAAGCGUAAUAGCUCACUGAUCGAGUCGUCCUGCGCGGAAGAUGUAACGGGGCUAAGCAAUAUACCGAAGCUGCGGAUGCACGUAAGUGCAUGGUAGGAGAGCGUUCUGUAAGCCUGUGAAGGUGUCUUGUAAAGGAUGCUGGAGGUAUCAGAAGUGCGAAUGCUGACAGGAGUAGCGAUAAAGGGGGUGAAAGGCCCCC
rnacentral:rRNA from 1 species